AUUGAACGCUGGCGGAAUGCUUUACACAUGCAAGUCGAACGGCAGCACGGGGGCAACCCUGGUGGCGAGUGGCGAACGGGUGAGUAAUACAUCGGAACGUGCCCAGUCGUGGGGGAUAACGUAGCGAAAGUUACGCUAAUACCGCAUACGAUCUACGGAUGAAAGCGGGGGACCGUAAGGCCUCGCGCGAUUGGAGCGGCCGAUGUCAGAUUAGGUAGUUGGUGAGGUAAAGGCUCACCAAGCCGACGAUCUGUAGCUGGUCUGAGAGGACGACCAGCCACACUGGGACUGAGAAACGGCCCAGACUACUACGGGAGGCAGCAGUGGGGAAUUUUGGACAAUGGGGGCAACCCUGAUCCAGCCAUGCCGCGUGCGGGAAGAAGGCCUUCGGGUUGUAAACCGCUUUUGUCAGGGAAGAAAUGUCCUGGGCUAAUAACCUGGGGGGAUGACGGUACCUGAAGAAUAAGCACCGGCUAACUACGUGCCAGCAGCCGCCGUAA
rnacentral:rRNA from 1 species